UACGUAGGGGGCAAGCGUUGUCCGGAAUCAUUGGGCGUAAAGCGCGUGUAGGCGGCUCGGUAGGUCUGCUGUGAAAGUUCAGGGCUCAACCCUGAAAUGCCGGUGGAAACUGUCGAGCUAGAGUCCGGAAGAGGCGAGUGGAAUUCCUGGUGUAGCGGUGAAAUGCGCAGAUAUCAGGAGGAACACCAAUGGCGAAGGCAGCUCGCUGGGACGGUACUGACGCUGAGACGCGAAAGCGUGGGGAGCAAACAGG
rnacentral:rRNA from 1 species